GCGCAGUCCCGCUUAGCUGCGCGGAGCUCGCCUCGCCGGCUGCUCUUUCCAGGGAUACCCACGAGAGGCGUGCCCCCGCCCCGUGUUAUUUCUCCCCGUUUCACCCUUUUUAAACCUCAGGAAGCCUCGGUAUUUUUCAGUAAUGUUGCUGUUCCAACAAAUGGGCUGUAUAGCUCGUACAAGGAAAAAUAUGUAUAACUUUAUGCAUGAUGCAAUUUAAACAUAAUUACAGAGGGGAAAUAGUCAGAAGAAAUUCCCCCCUGCCCAUCCUAUUUUUGAUCCUCUGCCUUUCCUGUUUGGAGUUAUCGUCUUCCCAGAUCUUAGAAGCCUAUUCUCUUGAGGAACUGGCAGGUGGAUACCCAUGAGUCAGCUUUGUCUUCUUCAGAAAUAUCAGAACGUUCAUAUGGGUUUUAGCAAAAGCCCCCUCAAAAUCAGGAAGAUGCACCGGUGAACUUCUCUUUGUGUCUUGAAUGUGUACUUGUUUCCACUUCUAAAUAAAACCAAGCCGUUGGCUCAGUAUGUUGAUGCCUUUUGGAACUGGCCUUUUUAAAUCGGUCUCAUUGAGGCUGGACAGGACUUUGGGAGGUCUCUGGUCCGACCACCUGCUCAAAGCUCUGACUUCAGACCAGGUUCCCAAGGACUUCAUUCACUUAAGACCAUCUCAGCUCCAACGUCACCCCGCCCCUGGGUCUGGCCGCCGACCGCUCCCACUGCAGUUACCAGCCCAUGUGCUUCCCCCCAGGUCUUCAAUCGAUGAAGAUGAUUCAUACGG